UGUAACAGUGUUUAUGUGGUAUUAUUCCACUUGCCACAAAUGUCAGUGUAAUGGGGAAACAGCGCCCCCCCCUCUCGGUGUGGCUGGUUAGGUGAGGCUGGCUGCAGUAAUCGCUGCCAGUCUGCCGUAGCCAUACGAGAGGUGACUGAGCAAUGGAGAAGCUGGAUGAUGUAACAGUAUCUGUCCUUAAAGCUGCAAGCAUUGACGAGCGCAUGCUUUUAACAUUGACCCGUGAUGAUCUGAGGGACCUUUUUUCUGGGCCUGAGCACUUUCUCAGAAGAAAACAUGUGUGGUCAAUAAUUCAUCCUGAGGAAGACCAUCCGCUACCACAGAAACCUGAAACAACUUCUUCACCCAGGGUAGUUGCAACAGGCCCUCCAACUGCUGAUGCUAAUGUAAGCCAGCUGAAAACCUUGCAGCUCCCCAGUCCUCCGGAAUAUGUUCUGUACACCGACAGUGAGUUGGAGCAAUGCCGAAAGAGUUACCUGGAGUUGGCCUGCUCCGGCAGGGAACAGGCAUGCGUCAUGUCAAAAGAACUGAGAUGCAGAUUGGUGAGAAAUACAAUCACAAGUAUGGUGUCCCUUUUGAGAGCAAGCCAAGGCCAAAUGGAGCGAUACCCCUCUAAGACCGAAAUCACUGCAAUGGCUAAAAAAGUUGUGGAAUAUUAUCCUAUGCUGCAGGAUAAUGAUGCAAGCGUAAAACACGAGAGCAUUAAUGCCAAGUUACAAAAAAGGCUGCAAAAUAUGAAAACCCCAGUAAAAAGGCAAGGACCAACACCGGAGAGGGGACGGCCCAAGAGAAGGCUCACUGACCUCUACCCAAGGGAUGAAGAAGCUGAUGAUGAAGAUGCUGAUCGCAGUUCUUCCAGUGGUGCAUCUACUCUGUUAUCACCUGUCAGAAAUUCUGACAAUGCCUCCACUUCAUCUGACAAGGAUAGUCGGCAAAUACAAGCAAGACAUUACAAAACAUUACAAGAAAUGUGUAAGAAGGCAAAACCAAACCAAGAAGAUGUGUCCCAGCUAUUAGACCUCGAGUUUGAAGCCAGAAGAUCCUUCAUUGACUCAGACACCAUGAAAGAGGAGAACAGAGCUUGCCUCAUCUUGGAUGCAUAUCCAUGCUUUAAAGAAUUGCAUCAUGCGUUGGGUGAGCUUCGCAGAAUUUUGGAUCCCCACAACAACAAGUUCAUCAGUCAAGUAAAACUGAGAUGGGAAGAAUUCUGCUCCAGGGUAGAGUUCUACGGUGUGUCAAAGAAGGCAAUGAAUCCACCAAUGACCAUGGACAAAACUGAAGCCCACCUUGCACUGAUGAAGGCUCUUCCAACCCUCUUUCCCACACCUGCCCAUCCACCAAAGAAGAUGGGGAAUGCUUCUGAAGCAUUUCUACAUGUCCUGAAGCCUACAGAAGAUCCAGAUGCUGUCCUCCAGAAACGAAGCUUGUCAUGUCCAGUAGUGAUGUUCGAUGGCUGCAAGUGUGUCAUUGCUGUUGGUAAUUUACCAGUUACAACAUUUGACAAAGAAAAAAUUGGUGAGGCUAUGAUAUAUGUGAUGGCAUACUUUUAUGCACUCCAUCUGACUUACCACAAAUGCGUGGCAACCCUGCUGUCUGUCAUUCAGACAGAAGUUCUCCAGGAUGCCAUUCAUGAGCAUGACACUACAUCAUCUUACAGAAAAGCCCUGGCAGAAUGGCAUGCAUUUAUUGGAAAGUAGUGUGUAAAUUUCAGAUAAGAUUAGGAGAGGGCACUUCUGUUUUGUUUUUGUUUGUUUUUUCAAUCUGGGUCUUAUUUCUAAAAUGGAAAAUGUUCAUUUACUCACCCAGACAAGUUUUGUGGUAUUUGGUGUCAUUCGGAAGAAAUUUGAAUCUUUGUGGUCUUCCUAUGUCACUCGUCAAUUUUAAUGGGGCAAUGGCGAAACCUCUAAGGCUGUUGAAAUGUUGAAACCACUUAAACAAACUCAUAAUGUUGGACCUGUACUGUUCAAUUGUAUCUUUAUUAUCUGCAGGUUAUUGUUAAAGUGGACAAAUAAAGAUGGACACUUUUACUCUG
ensembl:lncRNA